GAAUUUUGCGCAAUGGGGGAAACCCUGACGCGGCAACGCCGCGUGGAGGAUGAAAUCCCUUGGGAUGUAAACUCCUUUCGAUCGGGACGAUAAUGACGGUACCGAUAGAAGAAGCCCCGGCUAACUUCGUGCCAGCAGCCGCGGUAAUACGAGGGGGGCAAGCGUUGUUCGGAAUUAUUGGGCGUAAAGGGUGCGUAGGCGGUUUGACAAGUUCUAUGUGAAAUCUAUGGGCUCAACCCAUAGUCUGCAUGGAAAACUGUCAGGCUUGAGGAUGGGAGAGGUGAGUGGAAUUUCCGGUGUAGCGGUGAAAUGCGUAGAUAUCGGAAGGAACACCUGUGGCGAAAGCGGCUCACUGGACCAUUUCUGACGCUGAUGCACGAAAGCUAGGGGAGCAAACA
rnacentral:rRNA from 1 species